AAUGCAAGUGUUUAACAGAUGCUUCACUAUUAAAAUAUUUUCCCCCCAAGUCUCAAAUAUUGAAGAAUCUCUAACCAGGGACACCAGUCCCUACGAAGACCUUGGGCGAUUUUGAAGUGCGGGCACCUCGAUUCCCCGAAUCUGUAGUGUGGCUGGUAUCGGUGUUCCCCUGGUUUAACUAGCCUGUUUGAAGGCACAGAUCAUUCAUGGGGAUGUAUAACCGAAACCAGUCCUCUCCACCGCCUGGGGAUCUUCACUUUCGCAGUCUACGACUGCCUGUGACUCCAGAAAGACAAACUGCAGAUUGGCCAAGUGCCUUUCAAACUGUUUUUUACUGGAUGAAGAAACUCAACCAAGAAAAUAUAUGUCGAUUCUUGUAUAUGGGACAAUAUUAGCUGCUGUGAUUUUUAAUACUAGCAUAAAAUAUAAGAAUCUUUUUAUUACUGUGAUAUUGUUUUUUCCUAAAUGAAUGCAUAGUGUAACAAUUGGUGUCAAAAAGCAUUGAAUUUUUUUCAGAUGGAUUAAGCUGGAAUAAUAAAGUAUAUCUAUGAGAUGAUUUCUGUAAACUCUGACUUGCUGAGAAAAAAGUGAAAAAGCUUUUUCUGGAAGAAACAUGGCAACUUAACCGUUAUUAAUCUGGACUAAAUAAAACAGGAAACUGCUUCUUUA
rnacentral:lncRNA from 1 species